UACGGGGGGGGCAAGCGUUGUUCGGAAUUACUGGGCGUAAAGGGCUCGUAGGCGGCCAACUAAGUCGGAUGUGAAAUCCCCAGGCUUAACCUGGGAACUGCAUCCGAUACUGGAUGGCUUGAAUUCGGGAGAGGGAUGCAGAAUUCCAGGUGUAGCGGUGAAAUGUGUAGAUAUUGGGAGGAACACCGGUGGCGAAGGCGGCUACCUGGACCGGUACUGACGCUGAGGCGCGAAAGCUAGGGUAGCAAACAGG
rnacentral:rRNA from 1 species